rnacentral:lncRNA from 1 species
ACUAUAUCUGCUAUCCCCUUCACCCUGGUCUUCCUUAACUACAGAGUUCCAACACUUCUCUGUAAACACUAACUCAUCCAAGAGCUGACGGUUUCGUGUAGGAAGGAGACAUGGGAAAGAAAGGGGUUGUUUCAACACUUCCUCUGUAAGUUUGCUUUAAGUUCUUAUUUUCUUAUGUUCCUUCAAUGUUUGAAGUUCCCGAUUUCAUUGCUAGCUGCUGCUUUGAGCUGCAACAAGCUGUCAGCCCCUUCUUAUUGGGGAAAUUGGAAGUAAAGAGCUUAAUUCACACCAAAGUCAAAACACAUUCACUCAAAUCAUAUGAGUUUCAUUACAUUAGAAAAUCAGGAUAGAAAACCACAAAAAUAACUUAUUCUAUACCGCCUGCACACCCGACAACAUUAUAGAAGGUUAAUCCUCCUUUACUAUUUCUCUUUUUUUUUCUUCCUCUCUAUCUUUUAUCAUAUUUAGGCAAGUUGCCUAUGUAUAAUUACACUCUAAUGACCUUAUGAAGUAGGUUCUGUACUAGAAUACAAAUCAAGGACAAAAAACUUGAUUAAAAGGAUGGAAGAGACACCCGAAACCGCUCGGAUGAGAUGACAAACAGAAGAAUGGCACACACUAACAAGCACACACUGGCUUUAAUGUGAGUAUUAAGGUAGUACUCUCUAGUAGGAAAAAAUAAAUAAAGGAAAUUAAUGAAACUCAGACCAUCUUAUUGGAUGUGUCUGAGAAGCUAGAAUGCACCAAAAACAUUCUAAGCCAAGGAACUGGGAGUGCAGAUCAUUAGAUGCCUUGUUGUAAAAUUCCAGGCCAAGAUGGCUGCAACCCUAGGACAAAAAGGGAAAAAAAAAGAUGGAAACUCAAUAUGAGCUAUAUGUUGCUCAGGGAAACAAAUGAAGAGGUAUACAUCUAUACGGAAUUUAGACCAAUGUUGAUUUCAUUAUAAGAGAUGAUCAGAGGUUAUUUAUAGACUAUGGAGGAGGACUCGUUUGCAAGGUGGUGGUUGUGAAUGAUUAUUUCCCGGAUUAGGAGAAGGGGACUCCAUUCCAAGUGUCUUAAGUAGGAAGUUCCUUUCCUGAAAAAUGAAACAAAAACAUGCCAGUCAAAAGUUUCAUAUAUUAUGCCUAUAUGUAUAUAUGCUUGGAUUUCUAUGCUAAAUUAGAGAAAGGGAAACAAGAAUACAAGCAAAGAUAGUGCAGUAACCCUAUUUUGAGCUUCACAUGCUCACAUCUUUAGAGCCAAAGAAUACAAUAAAUAAGGAAUGAAUAGGAUGAAUUUUAUGAGUAGAUGGAAUUGUAAGAGCCUAAAACAAGAGACUGAAUCAGUAUUACCACUUGACCAUGAAUAAAACCCUAUAUAUAAAAAAGUUUUGGUUAAAAAGUUCUUUUCCUUAGGAAAACUACCAUCCAGACUAUUUACGUAGGUGGAUGGAGGAAAGUAAGUUUGCUUUUAGUAACUUAUCUUUUACUGUUAAGGAACACUACGAUUAAAGGCAGUGACCAGGUUUCUACCUGGCCUGAAUUAACAUCUAAGCAACUAUUCACAGAAACUUUGUUAAAUGCAGAAAAAGUGGAUAGCUACCAAUAAUGAGAAAUAUUUACGAGUGAAGAAGAAGCAGGGAAGGCCAAUAACAAAAUUAAAUGUGAGGAGAUAUGUCAGACAUGGAUGUUGUACACUAAUAGUUCAAGAAAAAAUGAAGAGUAACAUAGAUUGAUGGAACCAACAGUUCAAGAUAACUUACACUUUCUGAAAAAUUUGGACUGGGAAUCCCUGCUGCCAGAGAUCUGAAAAGUGGGGUAACUUGGAUUGGGGAACUGAACUCUAUGCUUGAUGAGGUAGAAGCAACUAUAUUAUUUGUAUUGUCGUCACAUGAUGUGAUUAUAUCAACUGUGGUAACAUUAAGACAUUUCAUCAGAAACAUUCUUAUUUAUCCACUUUAUGGUCAUAAACAAGGUAUUCCUAGGCCUUCAUACCAGAUAUAGAAUUUCAUUACCUAGAUUAGUGUUUGCACCCGAAACAGCCCUUUUCUCCUCACUCCCGCAAUUCUGCUCUCCGAUAUGACUUGAAGGUAUAUCCUGGUGCAGUUCAUCUAUCUUACCUUGGGCUUCUUCUCCUGUUUCCCCAGCUGGAUGAGGAACCAGUGUCGACCCUGUACUGUAUUCCGAGCUGGCUGGCGAUGCCUCGUACAGAUCAGGUUGCCUGAAACAUAUAAAUCAUGAGUUAGUGUUAACCAAGAAAACUUACUAAAAUCUGUAUUUAAGACAACUGAUUUUUCUAUUACCUCCAAGACGGGUGACUUCCCUCAUUACUACUCCUUAAAUCCUCUAGCAAGUCUUUGAAAUCUUCAAGUUGCAAAUCAAUAUCAGACAUUGUAUAUCUGAGGAUGUCAUUUUCUUUACUCUGAUUCAAAAAGUCUUGGAGCAUCUGAAUAUAACAUAGGAUGAAGGUUAGGGACAUAGUACAAUGCACAGCUCGGACUGUUAGCAAGUUUCCCCCAAAAUAUUUAAGAUUUAGCACUUUACCAAUUGUGAGAUAUCAUGUUGAUAGCACAAAAAAAACAUAUAGAAAAUAACAAAAUCACUUCUCACCUUCCAAGCAUUUUCCAGACUUUGUUCUGUGUUGUCCGAGUUAACUUUCAAUGCAAGUGAGCUGAGUAGCUCUGCUUGCUGCAUCAAAGCAUUUAUCUUUGGAUCAUCCUUUCUGAGAAAUGUUCCUCGAGUGCUAUUAUCCUGAGCUGCUAAUGAAUAAUGGGGGAAGAGAACAUAAGUGUAUAUUAUGAAGAAGUUUAAAGGAGAGGAGCAAAUAGGACAGUUUUUGGCUAAUGCAAAAACUUCACUUUGCAGGUUUGACAACAGAAACAUAGGUGCCAAUGCCAAGAAUUAUCGGCUCGAGGUGAUUUACCGUCGUUUGAAACCUCCUUAACAUUGUUGACUUGAGAUUGAACCACGACAUUGUUAGCAUUGCGGAGAUUUUGACCCAAA